CAGUAGCCGCGGUAAUACAGAGGGUGCGAGCGUUAAUCGGAUUUACUGGGCGUAAAGCGUGCGUAGGCGGCUUCUUAAGUCGGAUGUGAAAUCCCUGAGCUUAACUUAGGAAUUGCAUUCGAUACUGGGAAGCUAGAGUAUGGGAGAGGAUGGUAGAAUUCCAGGUGUAGCGGUAAAAUGCGUAGAGAUCUGGAGGAAUACCGAUGGCGAAGGCAGCCAUCUGGCCUAAUACUGACGCUGAGGUACGAAAGCAUGGGGAGCAAACAGGAUUAGAUACCCCGGUAGUCCCUGUCUCUUAUAC
rnacentral:rRNA from 1 species